UUACUAUGUAACGUACGGAUUAUUGGGCGUAAGAGCUCGUAGGCGGUUUGUCGCGUCUGCUGUGAAAGACCGGGGCUCAACUCCGGUUCUGCAGUGGGUACGGGCAGACUAGAGUGCAGUAGGGGAGACUGGAAUUCCUGGUGUAGCGGUGAAAUGCGCAGAUAUCAGGAGGAACACCGAUGGCGAAGGCAGGUCUCUGGGCUGUAACUGACGCUGAGGAGCGAAAGCAUGGGGAGCGAACAGGAUUAGAUACCCUGGUAGUCCAUGCCGUAAACGUUGGGCACUAGGUGUGGGGGACAUUCCACGUUUUCCGCGCCGUAGCUAACGCAUUAAGUGCCCCGCCUGGGGAGUACGGCCGCAAGGCUAAAACUCAAAGGAAUUGACGGGGGCCCGCACAAGCGGCGGAGCAUGCGGAUUAAUUCGAUGCAACGCGAAGAACCUUACCAAGGCUUGACAUGAACCGGAAAGACCUGGAAACAGGUGCCCCGCUUGCGGUCGGUUUACAGGUGGUGCAUGGUUGUCGUCAGCUCGUGUCGUGAGAUGUUGGGUUAAGUCCCGCAACGAGCGCAACCCUCGUUCUAUGUUGCCAGCGCGUUAUGGCGGGGACUCAUAGGAGACUGCCGGGGUCAACUCGGAGGAAGGUGGGGACGACGUCAAAUCAUCAUGCCCCUUAUGUCUUGGGCUUCACGCAUGCUACAAUGGCCGGUACAAAGGGUUGCGAUACUGUGAGGUGGAGCUAAUCCCAAAAAGCCGGUCUCAGUUCGGAUUGGGGUCUGCAACUCGACCCCAUGAAGUCGGAGUCGCUAGUAAUCGCAGAUCAGCAACGCUGCGGUGAAUACGUUCCCGGGCCUUGUACACACCGCCCGUCAAGUCACGAAAGUUGGUAACACCCGAAGCCGGUGGCCUAACCCUUGUGGGGGGAGCCGUCGAAGGUGGGACCGGCGAUUGGGACUAAGUCGACCAAGGGAAAACACA
rnacentral:rRNA from 1 species